GGGCAUAGCUCAGUUGGUAGAGCGCUACCUUGCCAAGGUCGAGGUCACGAGUUCGAAUCUCGUUGCCCGCUCCA
rnacentral:tRNA from 1 species